rnacentral:tRNA from 1 species
UGGUGCUGGCCUGGGCGGCCCGCAGCGGGCGAUUCACCCGGCCCGGCGACGGCGGCCAGGCGCCGCUGUUCGACGCCGCGACCACCGCC